GGCCUACCAUGGUCGUAACGGGUAACGGAGAAUUAGGGUUCGAUUCCGGAGAGGGAGCCUGAGAAAUGGCUACCACUUCUAAGGAAGGCAGCAGGCGCGCAAAUUACCCAAUCCCGACACGGGGAGGUAGUGACAAUAAAUAACAAUACAUGCGCUCGACAAGAGUCGUGUAAUUGGAAUGAGUACAAUUUAAACCCCUUAACGAGUAACAAUUGGAGGGCAAGUCUGGUGCCAGCAGCCGCGGUAAUUCCAGCUCCAAUAGCGUAUAUUAAAGUUGUUGCAGUUAAAAAGCUCGUAGUUGAACUUCGGGAUUUAUUCAUUGGUCAGGCUUAACUGUCUGUACUGGUGUAUUGAAUUCCUACCUUCUGAGGAAUCAUCAUGUCAUUAACUUGGUGUGGUGGGGAAUCAGGACUGUUACUUUGAAAAAAUUAGAGUGUUUAAAGCAGGCUAACGUCUGAAUACAUUAGCAUGGAAUAAUAGAAUAGGACGGUUUGGUUCUAUUUUGUUGGUUUCUAGGAUCACCGUAAUGAUUAAUAGGGAUAGUUGGGGGCAUUAGUAUUCAAUUGUCAGAGGUGAAAUUCUUGGAUUUAUUGAAGACUAACUACUGCGAAAGCAUUUGCCAAGGAUGUUUUCAUUAAUCAAGAACGAAAGUUAGGGGAUCGAAGACGAUCAGAUACCGUCGUAGUCUUAACCAUAAACUAUGCCGACUAGGGAUCGGAUGAUGUUGAUUUUUUAAUGACUCAUUCGGCACCUUACG
rnacentral:rRNA from 1 species